UGUACGUACCUUUAAAAAAAAAAUGAAAAUAUAAAAAAAACUUUGCUGGAUUUACAUUGCUGAUGACGGUUGAAACGCAUCAUCACAGUCUGUGAAAAGGUCAAUUUAUUUGUGUUCUGUAGCUUUCAAUAAAAAUUAAAUAACAACAAAGUAUAUAUUUCUGCUGUUUGCCAAAGGCAGUAUAUUGUACAUUUAGUAAGAAAUGUGUUCAGCAUUAUGCGUCAAAAAAAAAAAAAAAAAAAAAAAAUAUUGCGCCAUUUUGUGAUGGCUUAGUUGGCAGUCUUUUUCUAGGAGUGCUGGAGUGCGCUGCAGCGGGCUAAGUUACAACUGCGAUCCUGAAUAGCUGGCAGGUGUUCUUCUACCAUUCAGAAGCCAUGGGGUCGUGUCAGGGCGCCGGUCCUUCGUCUCAGCUGGAUACGGCCCGGAUCCGGUUGAAUACGAGGCUCUUAAGAACAACCCCCUGA